rnacentral:lncRNA from 1 species
CAAGCUCGAGAUGGGGCGGGGGUCAGCACAGAACCUUGAGAGCCGCUGCGGCCCGACCUGGGGCGACUGCAGGACGGCGGGGCGGGGCAGAUGGUGGGAUCCCAGGCCGGGACGAAGCUUGUGACGCCGCGGGGCAGGGCCGCGGUUUUGUAGGUGGGGUGGCGGAUCCCAAACGCAGCCACUACGCUAUCGCCCUUGGGUUUCUUGGGCAAACAACUCAGGCCUGCGUGUUUGCAACUCCAGGGUCUUCCAUCUCUUGGGCCAGCUGCAGACUCUACCCGGGGAAAUGUCCAAAAUGCACACGCUUAGAUGCACACGCAUCCUUACCAGCACGAAAGCACACAUCCACACGCGCGUGCACACACACAUGCGACUUUGCAAAUGUAUUCAGGGAUUCUCAGGCCCGCACCUGAGCACUUGGCUAUCACUUGGUCGCCUCACCGACCAUCCAAGCGCGGCCACACACCUCCCCCUCCCCGGGGGCCACAUCCCCUCCAAGUUGAAGGCUAUGCAAAGCUACAGCGGAUCGCUCCCUGGGUGCGUGGACUGUUCUGCGUGGGGGGCAAGACUCACUCUGAGCACACAGGGUACUGAGAGGAGCGAGGUCGUGAAGAACCCUCUGGGGCCGGCCCCCACGUGUGCAUGGCGAUGGGGAAUUACAAAGGCCAUGGAACUGGCUAAGAAAAAGUGGGGGGAAAGGCCGCAGAGGCCAAUCGCUCUUGCCGGUCCCAACCCCGCACCCGGGGGAGCGAUCGGCCUUUAACAACUGGGUCCCUACCCGGCUGGCGCAGAAGGCUGUGAGGGUCACCGCUGGACGUGGGAGCGGGCAUCCGGCCCAGGCGGGCUACACCACAGAUUGGCUGCGCGGGUGGGAGUGUCACCCGUGGCCAGGGCAGGCUUGAAUUGUCCUCCAGAACACGACCCUCGGGGAGUCAGCCCAAGAGACCGCCCGCCGGAGUCCGAUUUGAGGCAGACGUUCAGACACUUCGACUUCCGCACUCCUGAACUUGGGAGACCAGCGCUCCUCAAAGACGGAAAGAAACUAGAAAAGCGGCUGGGAGCCGAGGCAGGAUGCCAGUGUUUGGUAAAAGGGAGACUUGCGAUCCCAGUACCGGAUGCGGCGAAAACGAAAAUUCGUUCGGUCGCGGGUGGAGGAUCUGGCGGCUGUGAUCAGCCCGCGCGGGGCCGCCUUGGGCGCAGGCGAAGGUGCGCUCACCUUCCCGGCCGGAGCGCCUGCGUCCCGGACGCCGGGGCUGACACGGACCGACCUCGGGCUGAGUCCAGGGGUGGUCGGCAACGCCGGAUACCUCCGGGGUCUUCCUGUGGGACGAGCCGCGGGCCAGAGGGACCCUGCGUUUGCCCGGCGCAAGGCCGCGUCCCUCCCGCCCUCGCGGGCCCCACGAGGGCUGUGCCACGGCUCCACUCACCAGCUCCCGCCACCUGGGUUCCGCUCCGGGACCUCAGCCUCCGGAGCCUCCCGACUUGCCCGCCCACUGGCCUCGCUUUCCUGCGCCCGCAGCCUCCCUGUGGAGUGCGGGGACCCGGGCGGCGACCAGGAGCCGAGUCGGAGGCCAGGCUGGGGCGCCGGCCGGAGCAGCCGGGCUUCCGGGCGCGGGAGAAGGAGGGCGCCCCCUCUCCUCUCAGGGACGUGUCAGUGCUUUGCACUUGGGGCCGGCACGCGGCUAGGGGUCCUUCCCUGAGGCCCCUCGGCCCUGGCGCCCCCCGCCUCGGCCCUUUCGGCGGGUCAGGUCGGCCCUCCACGCUUCCAAGUCCCGGCGCUAGCAGCCGCGGGCGCGGGCGCGGGCGCGGGCGCGGGGUGGGGGGCCCGGCCAGGGGGAGGGGUCUCAGGCCCGUCGGGCCGUCAUUGGUUAAUAUUUUAUUCCGUUGACAUGUUUUCUUACUGCUGAGGCUUCCGACACCUUCUCCCCGGCCCCCCUCCCGGCCGGAGCUUGGCCUGAGCUGUCAAAACCCCGCCCCCGGAGACCCACAAUUGGUCCAAAAAGCGUAAAAUCAGCAAUCAAGGGGGCCUGGCUCGUUAGCGCAGGGGAUCGGAGCAGGGCAGGGCAUGUGAGAUAGUCACAGUUUUCCAGAGAUCACGACAAGAUCUAACCAGUCGCGCGUGGUCCCCGGCGCCGGAGCGGGUCAGCCCAGCCCAGCCCCGAGCAGAGCCCCUCCGCCCCCCGCAUCAGAGCCCCGCGCCCCUUGCGGAGCGCGGGACGGGGAGCCCGGGAGGAGCCUCCGCCGCGCCCGCCGCCCGGGCCGUCCGUCUUCCGCGCGCGCCGCCGCCCGGGCCGGGGGUCCGAGCCGCGCGCCCCCGGCCCCGGCCCCCAGGCGCCCUGGGCCGGAUGUCCCGAUGAGAGAGCCGGCGCUGGCAGCCAGCGCCAUGGCUUACCACCCAUUCCACGCGCCGCGGCCGGCCGACUUCCCCAUGUCCGCUUUCCUGGCGGCGGCACAGCCCUCCUUCUUCCCGGCGCUCGCGCUGCCGCCCGGCGCGCUGGCCAAGCCCCUGCCCGACC